GAAAUGCGAUAAGUAGUGUGAAUUGCAGAAUUCAGUGAAUCAUCGAAUCUUUGAACGCACAUUGCGCCCCCUGGUAUUCCGGGGGGCAUGCCUGUCCGAGCGUCAUUGCUGCCCUCAAGCCCGGCUUGUGUGUUGGGCCCUCGUCCCCCGGCUCCCGGGGGACGGGCCCGAAAGGCAGCGGCGGCACCGGCUUGCAAGCCGUGCUUGAGGGCAGCAAUGA
rnacentral:misc_RNA from 1 species